rnacentral:rRNA from 1 species
CCUACGGGAGACAGCAGUGAGGAAUAUUGGUCAAUGGGCGCGAGCCUGAACCAGCCAAGUCGCGUGAGGGAGGACGGCCCUAUGGGUUGUAAACCUCUUUUGCCGGGGAGCAACGGGCGCCCCGUGUGGCGUCACUGUGAGUCCCCGGAGAAAACGCAUCGGCUAACUCCGUGCCAGCAGCCGCGGUAAUACGGAGGAUGCGAGCGUUAUCCGGAUUUAUUGGGUUUAAAGGGUGCGUAGGCGGAUCGUUAAGUCAGUGGUCAAAUUGAGGGGCUCAACCCCUUCCCGCCAUUGAAACUGGCGUUCUUGAGUGGAAGAGAAGUAUGCGGAAUGCGUGGUGUAGCGGUGAAAUGCAUAGAUAUCACGCAGAACCCCGAUUGCGAAGGCAGCAUGCCGGCGUCCGACUGACGCUGAAGCACGAAAGCGUGGGGAUCGAACAGGAUUAGAUACCCCUGUAGUC